GCCGCGGUGCCAGAGUGGUCAUUGGGCUGGUCUCGAAAACCAGUGGCCUCGAGCCUCAAGGGUUCAAAUCCCUUCCGCGGCGCCA
rnacentral:tRNA from 1 species